CAUAUCCACCGUUGAACACAUACAAAACCCCCCAACGAACUCGAGCUUCUUCCUCAACGAAAAUGAUAGAACUCUCCAGGGCGGUUUCUUCUUCUUCGAUAAAACGAAACCAAUGACCCCUCAGUUCUUUCUUCUUCAACGUCAACCAACAUUUUGGAGUCUAAGCAUCUCAGAUUUGUUCAAUUUGUUAUCCCUCGAUUUGCUGUGAUAUCGUCGUUCCUUCCGCCGGCGCGAGGCUCUGUUCGAGGUAUGGAUCUACUUACCAUGACAAACACCCAUCUGCUAUAUCAAGGAAUUGCUCUUUGGAAAACAAGUGCACUGUUUUGUUAUGAAAUUGGGCUUUGAUUAUGGAAAUGUCCUCAUUCAGUCGGCUUUGAUUGAUAUGUAUGGGAAAAAUGAUGACAUUGAAAAAUUCAGUUUCUGUAUUUUAGAGCUCCCCUAAAAUAAGCCUCGAAUGUUGUAAUUCAAUGAUGUCAUCUUUGAUGCAUCUUGGUGUCCCCAAGAUGUGUUUAAGUUGUUCAGUUAGAUGGUUUGUGAAAAUAUUGCAUCUGAUGAAGUGAGUCUGUACUUAAUAAUAAAGGCAUUAUCAUUGUAUAGAUGUGAUUUGUUGCACUGAUGUGCAAUCAAAUCAGGUUUUGAUUUUGA